GGCCUUAUGGUGUAUUGGUAGCGUUUCGUCGGAAUAUUCGCAGUACUGGACUAUUCUUCGGCGAUGGAGUUGGUUCGAAUCCAGCUGAGGCCA